UACGAAGGGGGCUAGCGUUGUUCGGAAUCACUGGGCGUAAAGCGCACGUAGGCGGAUUAUUAAGUCGGGGGUGAAAUCCUGAGGCUCAACCUCAGAACUGCCUUCGAUACUGGCAAUCUCGAGUCCGGAAGAGGUUGGUGGAACAGCUAGUGUAGAGGUGAAAUUCGUAGAUAUUAGCUAGAACACCAGUGGCGAAGGCGGCCAACUGGUCCGGUACUGACGCUGAGGUGCGAAAGCGUGGGGAGCAAAUAGG
rnacentral:rRNA from 1 species